UACUCUUGUUUGUGUAUCUUCAUCAAUAAGGCUCAGUGACACCAUGUGUGGUUCCAUGAUUAUUCUGAUGACAUAAUAUAGUUUAUUGCUACAGGGCAAUCUAGAUAUGUCGUUCUCUCUCUAUCUCUCUCAUUCAAAUUGUAGUUUAUAUACUUUCUUCUGAGAUCAUUGGAAUCAUAGUUGGACUGGACUGGACUGCCUACCAUUUUAUGAUAUUUUUUUCAAUUUUACCAAAAUAUUCAUUGG
rnacentral:lncRNA from 1 species